CAAACUUCCUUAUCAUUUUAUUUCCAAACUGCUGCUUUCUCAUAGUGUCUGAUAAUCACAGAGAACACUUCUCCUCUCAGGAUACACAAACCACAGGAUUCCGAUGACUCACACUGAAAGAGCUUUCAAACACAUGGAGGACGGAAGGGCACGCUGUUUCUGCAUUAAAGCUUCCUGCCAAAGCCCCAGACUAAGCACACUUGAAUAUAUUUGGACAAAGUUUUAGCAAUAGUGAUCCCAGAUACCAGCUUCUUACUGACUGCAGCUCCAUUACCGAGGACAGAGGUAAAUGCUAGAGCAACCAGACUGCACUCCUCAUAUUGAUGGAAUUACAUAACAGGAACAGAGCAUUUGAGAUCCCAAGCAAGGGGGAUUGGCAUCCUGUCUUCAGAAGGAUGAAAUAUACUUAAAAUUGCAUACAUUACAACUGGAGAUCCAUAACAGAAGAAAGAGAAUGAAGGUGAUCAUAAGGCACAAAAUAGAGCCAAUAAAGAAAAAUUGAGACAUAUAGAGUCAUCUGCUUGAGAGGGGAUGAAGGGGAGGCUAGGAAAACAGUGGAAGUGACAAGUUUAAGGACUCUGUACUACAGGACAUGACCAUCAGACAGGAAAGAGCAGCCUAUACUCCUUUUCUUUCUGGACAGUUGAAUCCAACCUCUUCAGUUCUUGAAAUCCGGGAUGCUGUUCUCAAAAGAGAGCACUGCAUUUGACCUGAGGCUGUACAGAAGACUUUAAGAAUUGGUUGAUAGUAGGGAUUACUGGGUAUGUAGUUGGUUAGAAGUGUGUAACAUCACAGGGAGGAAAAUUUAGAGUUUGGGGUUUUAGAAUAUAGAAAUAAAUAUGAAGCAAGAUGGAGGUUUUAGGGUGGAGAUGGGUUGUUCUUCUUUACCUUCUUUUUCCUUCUUCUUCAUGGGUUUGGGUGAUUUGAGAUUGGACAAAAGAGUCUGCAUUGUGGGCAUUGGGGAAUCAGUUAUUGAGUUAAAGGGGAAAAUAAUCUAGGUGUCCUGUCUUAAUUGGAUAGUUUAGUUUUAAAAGACCUUGUAGCAAGAGUUAGUUAACCAUUUUGUGCCUUGCUAAUGAAAAGCUGCCAAACUCGUGGUUGUGAGACUGUUUCACUGAUAAGAAAUAAUAAACACCUGAGUCUGAACAUGGAA